UACGGAGGGAGCUAGCGUUGUUCGGAAUUACUGGGCGUAAAGCGCGCGUAGGCGGCUUUGUAAGUUAGAGGUGAAAGCCCGAAGCUCAACUUCGGAAUUGCCUUUAAGACUGCAUCGCUAGAAUUGUGGAGAGGUAAGUGGAAUUCCGAGUGUAGAGGUGAAAUUCGUAGAUAUUCGGAAGAACACCAGUGGCGAAGGCGACUUUCUGGCCUGUUCUUGACGCUGAGGCGCGAAAGCUAGGGGAGCAAACGGG
rnacentral:rRNA from 1 species